rnacentral:snRNA from 1 species
CGCUGCCGUGAUCGUGGUCUGCAG